rnacentral:rRNA from 1 species
CUCCUACGGGAGGCAGCAGUAAGGAAUAUUGGUCAAUGGACGAGAGUCUGAACCAGCCAAGUAGCGUGAAGGAUGACUGCCCUAUGGGUUGUAAACUUCUUUUAUACGGGAAUAAAGUGAGCCACGUGUGGCUUUUUGUAUGUACCGUAUGAAUAAGGAUCGGCUAACUCCGUGCCAGCAGCCGCGGUAAUACGGAGGAUUCGAGCGUUAUCCGGAUUUAUUGGGUUUAAAGGGAGCGUAGGCGGGUUGUUAAGUCAGUUGUGAAAGUUUGCGGCUCAACCGUAAAAUUGCAGUUGAUACUGGCGACCUUGAGUGCAACAGAGGUAGGCGGAAUUCGUGGUGUAGCGGUGAAAUGCUUAGAUAUCACGAAGAACUCCGAUUGCGAAGGCAGCUUACUGGAUUGUAACUGACGCUGAUGCUCGAAAGUGUGGGUAUCAAACAGGAUUAGAUACCCUGGUAGUCCACACAGUAAACGAUGAAUACUCGCUGUUGGCGAUAUACAGUCAGCGGCCAAGCGAAAGCAUUAAGUAUUCCACCUGGGGAGUACGCCGGCAACGGUGAAACUCAAAGGAAUUGACGGGGGCCCGCACAAGCGGAGGAACAUGUGGUUUAAUUCGAUGAUACGCGAGGAACCUUACCCGGGCUUAAAUUGCAACUGACGGAACCGGAAACGGUUCUUUCUUCGGACAGUUGUGAAGGUGCUGCAUGGUUGUCGUCAGCUCGUGCCGUGAGGUGUCGGCUUAAGUGCCAUAACGAGCGCAACCCUUAUCGAUAGUUACUAGCAGGUUAUGCUGAGGACUCUAUUGAGACUGCCGUCGUAAGAUGUGAGGAAGGUGGGGAUGACGUCAAAUCAGCACGGCCCUUACGUCCGGGGCUACACACGUGUUACAAUGGGGGGUACAGAAGGCAGCUACACGGCGACGUGGUGCUAAUCCCGAAAGCCUCUCUCAGUUCGGAUUGGAGUCUGCAACCCGACUCCAUGAAGCUGGAUUCGCUAGUAAUCGCGCAUCAGCCACGGCGCGGUGAAUACGUUCCCGGGCCUUGUACACACCGC